AUUGAACGCUGGCGGCAGGCCUAACACAUGCCAGUCGAGCGGAUGAAGGGAGCUUGCUCCUGGAUUCAGCGGCGGACGGGUGAGUAAUGCCUAGGAAUCUGCCUGGUAGUGGGGGAUAACGUCCGGAAACGGGCGCUAAUACCGCAUACGUCCUGAGGGAGAAAGUGGGGGAUCUUCGGACCUCACGCUAUCAGAUGACCCUAGGUCGGAUUAGCUAGUUGGUGGGGUAAAGGCCUACCAAGGCGACGAUCCGUAACUGGUCUGAGAGGAUGAUCAGUCACACUGGAACUGAGACACGGUCCAGACUCCUACGGGAGGCAGCAGUGGGGAAUAUUGGACAAUGGGCGAAAGCCUGAUCCAGCCAUGCCGCGUGUGUGAAGAAGGUCUUCGGAUUGUAAAGCACUUUAAGUUGGGAGGAAGGGCAGUAAGUUAAUACCUUGCUGUUUUGACGUUACCAACAGAAUAAGCACCGGCUAACUUCGUG
rnacentral:rRNA from 1 species